rnacentral:rRNA from 1 species
CGGAUUAUUGGGCGUAAGCGCGCGCAGGUGGUUUCUUAAGUCUGAUGUGAAAGCCCACGGCUCAACCGUGGAGGGUCAUUGGAAACUGGGAGACUUGAGUGCAGAAGAGGAAAGUGGAAUUCCAUGUGUAGCGGUGAAAUGCGUAGAGAUAUGGAGGAACACCAGUGGCGAAGGCGACUUUCUGGUCUGUAACUGACACUGAGGCGCGAAAGCGUGGGGAGCAAACAGGAUUAGAUACCCUGGUAGUCCACGCCGUAAACGAUGAGUGCUAAGUGUUAGAGGGUUUCCGCCCUUUAGUGCUGAAGUUAACGCAUUAAGCACUCCGCCUGGGGAGUACGGCCGCAAGGCUGAAACUCAAAGGAAUUGACGGGGGCCCGCA